AAGAGCUUGAAUCUGAUCAAAUUUGAUUGAAGCUAUACCGACUCGCGAUCUGAAUUGGAUCGAUGCACUUUUUAUUCAUAAUAGUUGUCUGUGUCUUUGUAAAGAAAAUUACUAAAAGAGCUUGCUGUUCUUCAGGAACAAAUGGAGCUGUGAAAGGGAUGCACGACAGAACAAAUCAACCUCCGGAGGAGCCUCACCGGAUCAAGUAUCUUUCGCUUGCAUCCAAAGCAUGAGAUGGAAUCCAGCGCACGCAUCAAUCAAGGCGACGGAGGAGGCACACGAGAUCCGCAGCUGCUGUCGGUGCGUAGUUGCCAUCGUCCCCUUGCGAAGUGAUUUGUGGAAGCCAUUCAUCGAAGUACUUACGCCAUAUGGUGUCGCUGACAUUGACAGAUGCAGCAGCAGCAUGCAAUUCCUGCGAUGGGUGCGCGCACAAUUAAGAGUCACGGAUGAGAACUGUUUGGGCCGACACUUGCAGAGAGACGAGGAAGAUUACUUACGUUUGGGAAGUUGUAAGGAGGCACUGAUGGCAACGUCAUAUCCUUUGGGAAAAAGGGGAUCUCCACAGGGUUUUGAUAUCUUCCAGCCUAUAGAACAUUGAUUUGCAAGUCAUUCACGUUGUAAUGUAGCAAAUAUUUGGAAUUAGAAACGAACAAAAGUUAAGAUCAGUAAAUAUCGUGCUUUAAAUGCACACAUUAACUUC